UCUGCCUGACGUGGACGCUAGUCUCACAGAUUUAGCCAUGCAUGUGUAAGCGAAGCUUUUAGUGGAGCGGUGAAAGGCUCAGUAACGGGCGAUUUAUUUGUUCUCCUGUGACGGACAACAUCGGGAAACUGAUGGGAAAACGUCUAAGUUGCAGUUAAUUGAUUGUGACGUAAACGAUAUUGUGCAGGAGAGUAAGAUGCCAUCCUAUCAGUUAGUAAGUAGGGUAAGGGCCUACUUAGACGAAGACGGGUACGGGGAAUGAGGGUUUGAUUCCGGAGAGGGAGCCUGAGAGAUGGCUACCAGGACCAAGGUCAGCAGCAGGCGCGAAAAUUAUCGAAGCCCGCCUAGGGGCGAUAGUGAGGAGACGUGUAUAACGAAGUACGUGUAAAGAACGUGCUAAUAACUGGAGGUCAAGUCUGGUGCCAGCAUCCGCGGUAAUUCCAGCUCCAGGGGUGUCUAUGAUGAUUGCUGCGAUUAAAAAGUCCGUAGUCAAUCUGACUGACUGGCCUGCAAUGUGAUUGAUUAAAGAACGAGCAGGGUUAGGAAAGCAGAGAAUCAGGAGCGACCGAGGGCUAGAGUAUUGAAUGGCGAGAGGUGAAAUUUGAUGACCCAUUCAGGAGUGACAAAGGCGAAGGCACUAGUCAAGGGCGAAUCCGAUGAUCAAGGACGUAGGCUAGAGUUUCGAAAACGAUUAGAGACCGGAGUAGUUCUAGCAGUAAACUAUGCCGACGCCGUGGUAUCAUUUUGGUAUUGCGGAAGAGAAAUCAAGUAAGGCUUUGGGGAGAGUACGCGCGCAAGCGAUAAAUUAAAGGAAAUGACGGAGACGCCACGCCUAGG
rnacentral:rRNA from 1 species